UCUGCUUAUGUUGCACAGUUACAGCUCACUAGGCUGAAACUGAAGUACCAGACAAAGAAGUGGAAAGUUAUCCAAAAUUGCUCGCUUGUUUAAAAAUGUAGUCAUUAGCAGGCCCUCUGAACUGUGCUUUCCAGCUUCUUCAAAGUCAGACUGUCUCCUAAGCAGGUUAUGAGAUAGAUGAUUAUCGCUGCUUCCCCAUGUGUCAAGUGUAGCCAUGCUGCUGCAGUGGCAAGGGGCUAGAGCAGUAGAAAUAGAGCUCAGUGCUUAGUUAACAGGAUAGCAGUUUUUACACUUCUGCCGCUUGCUGAUGGACCAGAAGAAUGUGAACUGGUACUGAAUGGACUGCCUGCCUGGUUUCAGUAGUCUUUUCCUGAUUUGUCAAGGUAAAAUAGUACUCUAUGGUUUGUGGAUGUGUUUUCUCCUCUUGCACUUUAACGGAUCAAGAAGAUUAUUACCCUUAGAUUCAGACCGAACUGGACACUGAUGAAAGCAUGUGCAAAACACAGUCCAGUGCAACAGUCCCUCCUCUGGCUGUGUGAUAUGGGAAUAGCUGGAAUUCCUCAGCUGAGUGUUCAACAGUCAUGCGGUGUCCUUUGUGUGCACCUACCACUACUGAGCAAACAGCUGUUUUCCUAUGGAAUCAACGUUUUUUAACUGAUAUGUUGUUGGAAUGACGUUAUGAAGAUCUGGUAAAUGUCACCAUGCCAAGUAGACACAGAAGGAGCCACAGAACAUGGGGGACGUUGGCAGCAUCUUAGAAUAUUGUCAUCACAAAGCAACAUAAACCUGACAUUGCAUUAUAUCUUUUUAGUUAAUGGAUUUCCACCUCUGACUCUUCCAUGUUAAUUUUGCCUGGUCUCUUCAGUAGCAAGUCAAUGAGGGGAAAAAAAAUGUAUCUUUUUGAAGAAAGACACCAGGAUUUCUGGAUAAGUUAUGUUAUGGUCCAGCUCAGUAACUGAAACCUCAUGUGCUGGUGCAGUAUAAGGAAGAACCAAAAGCAACAGACUUGGAAACAGCCAGCUCCAUGGCUCUGCUUCUGUUCACCCAUCUCACAUUUGAUCAGUCUCUGCUUGACAUCAGGCUGGGAGCAAUAAGCUCUGAUCACAACAGUGGAUGUGGCAACAAGCCCAUGAGCUCCAUGUGUCACUCCAGAACCAGAUGCUGUCUCACUGGAUUCCUCCAUAAAACAACUGAGGCAGAUGUGUGGAUGUCAGAUUUGUCUUUCAGGUGUACCUACCACACCCUCCGAGGUAAGGAGUAAAAGACAGGACUAUAUACAAGACAAUAUUGCAGUAGCAAUGAACUUUGAAGUAGAGAACGACAUUCUUCAGUUAAGUGAUUAUCAGUCCUGAUGAAAGUGAGACAUUAUACAAGCACCAUCACUGUAAUAUACAUGUAAGGUUUGGUAGGAUUUUAUUUUUUUGAAGGAUCUCUUUUCAUGUACAUUGAAGGACUCUGGAAACUGCUCAGAGACUGCUGUGUGAAGAGGUGGCAGAGUCAGUCCAUGUGUGGAGAUGUGUGGAGUUGCUCAGAGAGGUUGGGCUAAAGGUACAAUACUGAACUCCUGCUUGACUUGAGUAUGAAUUGAAAUUUUACAUCACCAUCAAAAACUGAUUCACCAUGCAGACAGAAGAACACGUCUCUCUUGAGCCUGGGAAAGUUUCAAGCACUAGGAGGACAAAGGAGGCUUCUCAUGGAAAAGAUGAGUCUCCUCUAAGUGUGCUUUUCCUGGAGCCUGGGAGGCCAGCCUGUCCUAGCUCAUAGUUGGGGCCCCUUCUAAAGUCAUUCACCUGGCUCGUAGGCUUGUCCUUCUCCACAACCGUGUGGGUACUGAGGAGACCCUGAUGGAUCUGCAAAGUGCAACACCCAACCUGAUCCUUCAAUAUUUAAUACUCAAGAAACCUUUCUGAUGACAGUUUCUUCUGUAAAAAGAAACUUUGUGGAGUUCAUUGCAACCGAGCUGUUCUGGGGAGGCAGGUUUUGCAUAGUAAACUUCCUAUAAACCAAGAAGCAGACCAAGGAUUUAGGUGGUCUUUUAUUUUUGAAAAAAUAUUUUUCUUUUUAACUUUGUGCUACAGAGAGCAGAAGCAAAACUUCUGAAUAAGUAACUUAUUAGCUGUAAAUUUGUCUAGAAGAUCUCUACAGGUUGUAAAGCCUAAUGGCUUAAAGUGUCAGCCUUAUAUCGCAGUGGUAAAGAGCUCAUUCUCUAGAGGUAGCAUUUUUGAAGCUUUGCCAUUUUUACUCUAUCAAAGGAAUUGCUGUAUUUUGAACAAACUAUUUUAUUUUAAAUAGCCUGUAUUUACAAAAAAUAUUUAACAUUAAUUUCAUGCAAAACAGUAACAAAAUUGAGUCUUAUUUUUACAAUGUAUAUGCAGAGACAUUAAGCAGAUCAAGCAGGAGUUUAGAUAUAAUUGAGGUCUGUAGAUCUCAGGUUUAUAUUUAAGUGGUCUUUUGAACUGCAGCCCAUGUUCUCUGUGAACUUAACUGUUCAGAGCACUUGUGAUUUUCCUCCUUCCCAGGGUUGUUGAAUUGCAGUAUAAGGUCAAGCCCAUGGUCAGUCUCUUCUGACACUAUCAAGCUAGGUGCAAGUGGUUCUGGAAUGGGUACUAACGCAAAGGGGAGAUCUUUUGUAGCUAAUUUAGUAUAGAGCUGCGCAAAUUGUCUUGGUUAUUUGGGUGAUUUCAAGAAAUAAAACCCAUGUGUCUAAACUGGCAGACAAAACUCUCAUCUGCUCAUAAAUCUGACUUUAGAAAUGGCUGCUAAAUUCACCAUACAUGGCAGUGGUCUUUGCUAUGGCCUGAUCCUGCCUUCAGUGUUGGGUUCUGACUGGUGCAUGACUUAAUCACCUCCUCUUUUCUUUUUUGUUUUUGAUUUUUCUUUCUCCUGUCAGCUGAAAGAUAAAAAAAAAAAAAAAAAAAAAUCCCUGAUGAAGCUUUAUAAUUCCCAACACUGAAACAUUAACCAACUCCUUAAUUAAGAGAGACUGAAAGUAGAAGAAUGCUUUUAUGUCAUUAGCUGGUUUUUGCUCCAGUCAUCUGCCUCAUUCAAGCAUAGGAUAAUAUGAAACCUCACGGGUCUGCUAAAGACUUGACUUAAGUAUACUGCAAGCUUCCUUUGCAAUUUAAUAAGAACCUCACGUUGUUCUUAAGAAACUUCAAUUUGUCUUGCUUGUGCUCAAGACUAGCAAAAGAAAAGUAAGAGCAGCUAGUGAAGUAAGAGCCAGAGGUCUGAGUCCUGCUCCUUGCUGCAGCACACAGGUGCUUUUAUUCCUGUGUCCCUUCCCUCCUACACCAGGAUUAGCAGGAGUUAGUAUUAGACCAGAAGCUUUCCUAGGUGGAGCACAGCUGGUCUCUUUUAUCUGUAGUUUCUGCGGUAUUGAGCACGAUGACUUCUCAAUGUUGCUUAAACAGAGCGUGUGUAAGGUACUGUAAAGGAGCGAACAAUGGGGCACGUUAAUGAUAAACUGGCACUGCGUUGUCUGCUACUCUGCUGACAGUGAGCUGCUUGAGUGCUCUGGUCUAGAGGCUGGGGGCUUGGGAUCGAGUCUUGUUCCCAGUUUCAGCGUUGGCCUGUGUCAGGGUUGCCAGACUUGCUCUUCAUGGCACCUGUUGCGUGUGUAAGUGUGUGCUUUGGGAAGGAGUGAACUUGCUGCUCCUCUGUAGUGUCAAGGUACCAUCGAACAAGUAUGGUAAAAUUAUUUGUGUGGCAUUUACAUUCUACUGGGUGAAGGAGGUUCAGAAAUUACUCAGACUUGCUUGCUUCUCUGAAAUGACUCACUGAACAGAUAUAAUUGAAAACCAUGCAGAACAAUGCUUCUCCAUACUGUAAAAGUCAUUUACCUAAAGUGGGACCUUUACACUGGGGUUGACCUUAUUAAGGCUGUAAACCCCCACAUCCAUGUAACUGUAACAGUAGGAUUACAGCAAACUGCAGAACGCGUGUUUGGGAAUUGGAUGUUUUAGGUUUUGUGGAUUUUUGCAUUAUUUUUCUCCCCUUGUGUCACGCUCCCUCAUGCGCAUGCACAUGUGCAAAUUUGCCUCUUGCUUUUUCCCUCCACCUCUUUCAUCUCCAGUGACCACAUCUCUCUCAAUUCAAGUGUGAACAACACUUCUUAAGAAUGGUACCAAAGUCAACAUCUGUUUCUUCAGUUUCUUCCUGUUUCACCCUUGGCAUCCCAACAGUGACCUUGAGCUUCAGUGCAUGCAGACAAAUGCCUGCUACUCAGUAAGUCUGUGUUUAGAUGAAACUGCAUCACCCCUGUAGCAAACUCAGAAUGAGCCUUAGCGGUUGCAUACUAAGACCCUGAGAUUCUGGCUCUGCACCCAAAACUCUCACUGGCCGUAGUGAGAAAAGGGAUAGGCUCAAGGACCAAGACUACAUUCAGAAAGGUGUCAAUGCACAAUGCUCUCCAGGGCUAGUAUUUUUCAAGUGCUGCUGGGUUCUUUCAGGAGGCAAAAAAAGCUUCAUCGAGUUAGGCCAAGUUCCUGUGGGUGCAAUGUGUGCCAUACACUGGAAAUUAAAGACCAGAGAAUUAACGGGGUUUGUUGUGUUGCAAAGUUGAAGCCAUUUUUAUCCUUACAUGUGUACACGCAGAAAUCAUAGUGCGCUAAUGAAACACAACUUUAUGUUCCCAAAUGUAUUUAUGCUUGCAAAUGAAUGUAACUCAGUACAUUUGUUGCCAAGCAGGCUUGGCAGUGUUUUUUUGGUGGGGGAGAAGAGGUCUUUGUGUUGGCUCCCCCAGCCCCCCUGCUUGGCUUUUAGUGGUGUGGACAAGGUGUGCUCCAAGGCCAGCAGGUAGCGUUGCCAACCGAGCAAGUUUUUUCAUGGCUGUCUUGACAUGGGGGAAUGUGAUGAUGGGGAACUGGGGAGGGGAUGGUUCCCAUGAGGUGACUCGCACCAAGUUCUCCCCCGAUAUCUACCAAAAAUUGUCUGUUUCACCACAAGGGGAACCAGUCUGAACAAAAGUAUAACUGAAGGCAACAUGGGGGGACCUAAAUAAA